UACGAAGGGGGCUAGCGUUGCUCGGAAUUACUGGGCGUAAAGCGCACGUAGGCGGCUUUCUAAGUCGGGGGGUGAAAUCCUGGAGCUCAACUCCAGAACUGCCUUCGAUACUGGAGAGCUCGAGUCCGGGAGAGGUGAGUGGAACUGCGAGUGUAGAGGUGAAAUUCGUAGAUAUUAGGAAGAACACCAGGUGGCGAAGGCGGCCUACUGGUCCGGUACUGACGCUGAGGUGCGAAAGCGUGGGGAGCGAACAGG
rnacentral:rRNA from 1 species